rnacentral:lncRNA from 13 species
AUAGACAGGGGGCAAAGAGAGAAAGAUGAGAGGAGGAGAUGAGAGGAGAGAAAGAGGGUAGGAGGUCGUGAAGGAGUGAACGUGUUGCGGAGAGAGAGAGAGAGAGAAAUCACAGACAGCAGGAGAUGUGAAAAAGAAAGGGGGGCGAAACGAAAGAGGGUGGAGAAGCUAAAUUAACCGUCUCAUUUUCUGACACAUUGUGAUUAGGGUCUAAAACACGUCAUUCAGACAGCGAACUCCAGCGCCGCGUCGACGACACACACAUCAUGUGAAACUCCAACACGCCGUUUUCCAUCACACUGUGUUUACAAAGUCUUGAGUUAGAUGUUAUUUUAACGAGAAACGUACAGAAAAAUGUUUUUAUUAGAGAGAAGCAGACUGUUUGUGAGUGAGUAACAGACUGUGAGUGAGUAACAGAAUGUGAGUGAGUAAUAGACUGUGAGUGAGUAACAGACUGUGAGUGAGUAACAGACUGUAAGUAACAGACCGUGAGUGAGUAACAGACUGUGAGUGAGUAACAGACUGUGAGUGACAGACCGUGAGUGAGUAACAGACUGUGAGUGAGUAACAGACUGUUUGUUAGUGUGUAACAGAUUCCAUUUGUUUAUAGUACAGAACAUAAUACAUUUCCCACUAUACCCUCUGUCUUGAGGAUAUUCUCAAUUCGAUUGUUAUUUUGACGAGAAACGUACGAAAGCAAGUGGUCACAUUAGAGACGCUUUAGCCGCAGCACAAAUCAAAUCGAAUCAAAUGUAUUAAUUUAAAUCUACUACCGUACUACAGUACUGCAUUGAUCGCGUGAACUUGUCUUGUUAUUGUUAUCAGUAAUAAACUGCGGUCAGAUAAGUAUCUCCUAUAGAAUAAUAUGUUCCCUCUCAGAGUAUCCGUUUCAUAUAAACAAAUGACUUUGACCGUUUGCCGUUGUAAUAGUUGUAAUAGAUUGUAGUAUUUCUAGAAUAGUACCAUUUCCGUCUCUGUGUGUCCUGUGUGGUUUCUGAAUGGGCCAUGCAGGCUAGAACUAUUAGCGAGAAGAUGGACUUCAACAUUCACUGUGUGAAAAUGUGUUGGUAGAUAGAUGGUCAUUAAUAGACCCCAUUGUCUCUGAGUAUGUCCUUUAGGUCAUUAAUA